rnacentral:rRNA from 1 species
AGUGAACGCUGGCGGUAGGCCUAACACAUGCAAGUCGAACGGCAGCACAGAGGAGCUUGCUCCUUGGUUGGCGAGUGGCGGACGGGUGAGGAAUACAUCGGAAUAUACUCUGUCGUGGGGGACAACGUAGGGAAACUUACGCUAAUACCGCAUACGACCUACGGGUGAAAGCAGGGGAUCUUCGGACCUUGCGCGAUUGAAUGAGCGGAUGUCGGAUUAGCUAGUUGGCGGGGUAAAGGCCCACCAAGGCGACGAUCCGUAGCUGGUCUGAGAGGAUGAUCAGCCACACUGGAACGGGGACACGGUCCAGACUCCUGCGGGAGGCAGCAGUGGGGAAUAUUGGACAAUGGGCGCAAGCCUGAUCCAGCCAUACCGCGUGGGUGAAGAAGGCCUUCGGGUUGUAAGGCCCUUUUGUUGGGAAAGAAAUCCAUCUGGUUAAUACCCGGGUGGGAUGACGGUACCAAAAGAAUAAGCACCGGCUAACUUCGUGCCAGCAGCCGCGGUAA